rnacentral:tRNA from 1 species
GUCCCUGUAGCUCAAUAGGAUAGAGCAACUGCCUUCUAAGCAGUAGGUUCCGAGUUCGAGUCUCGGCAGGGACG